rnacentral:rRNA from 1 species
AGAGUUUGAUCAUGGCUCAGAUUGAACGCUGGCGGCGUGCUUAACACAUGCAAGUCGAGCGGUAACAGGUGUAGCAAUACAUGCUGACGAGCGGCGAACGGGUGAGUAAUGCUUCGGAAUCUUCCUCGUAGUGGGGAAUAACCUGGGGAAACUCAGGCUAAUACCGCAUACGAACUACGGUUGAAAGCAGGGGAUCGCAAGACCUUGCGCUAUGAGAUGAGCCGAAGUCGGAUUAGCUAGUUGGUGAGGUAACGGCUCACCAAGGCGACGAUCCGUAGCUGGUCUGAGAGGACGACCAGCCACACUGGGACUGAGACACGGCCCAGACUCCUACGGGGGGCAGCAGUGGGGAAUAUUGGACAAUGGGCGAAAGCCUGAUCCAGCGACGCCGCGUGUGUGAAGAAGGCCUGCGGGUUGUAAAGCACUUUUAGUGGGGAUGAAAAGCCGAGGGCUAAUACCUUUCGGUCUUGACCUAACCCAAAGAAAAAGCACCGGCUAACUCUGUGCCAGCAGCCGCGGUAAUACAGAGGGUGCAAGCGUUAAUCGGAAUUACUGGGCGUAAAGCGUGCGUAGUCGGUUAUUCAAGUCGGGUGUGAAAGCCCCGGGCUCAACCUGGGAAUUGCAUUCGAUACUGUUUAGCUAGAGUUCGGCAGAGGGAAGCGGAAUUUCCGGUGUAGCGGUGAAAUGCGUAGAUAUCGGAAGGAACAUCAGUGGCGAAAGCGGCUUCCUGGACCAGAACUGACGAUCAGGCACGAAAGCGUGGGGAGCAAACAGGAUUAGAUACCCUAGUAGUCC